rnacentral:lncRNA from 1 species
CAAGAGGUCGUUUUAUAAACAAUUACUGAGGUUAGGGCUCUUUAUAUUGUCUUGGUUUCAUCCUAAAAUGUUUCUAUACUUAGGGUCGCCAAGGAAGCCAGAGUGGAGGCUGUCGGAAGGGUGGGUUUGAAUGAACUUUGGCUGCUCCAUCAAGCAGGCUGAUUACUGAGGAAACAUCAAAAGCUUCACCCGAGUGACUCAUCACCCAGAUCCAACAGAGAGUGAAGAGAAAUGUGCCUGUUGAUGAUAAUGUACCUGAAGAGUGAUGAAGGUUGCUGAUUUUUACCUCAGUGAGCAAGGGAAAAAAACCCACAUGAAACUUGAGCCUCAUUAAAAGUAGACUUUUUUUUCUGUGUAUGUGUGUUUUCAGUGAAUAACCAAUUAGAAGUGAACUCAGGCUUCCAAUGUAGCCACUAGGAGUGAGAAGAAAAGGUGAUAGGUGGAUCCCUGCUGUGGCUGAAAGGAGCUCAGGUAAGACUAACCAGAGUGGGACUGCUGGGAUACACACUUAUUUAAAUUCUGCUUUGAGACCUGAC